AAAACAUCUUUUCUUGUUAAUUUAUUUGAAGUUUGGCCUGCCCAAUGAUUUAUUUAAUGGCCGCGGUAAUUUGACCGUGCAAAGGUAGCAUAAUCAUUAGUCUAUUAAUUGUUGACUUGUAUGAAUGGUUGGACGAGAUAAUUACUGUCUCAUAUUUAUUUUAUGAAUUUGAUUUUUUAGUCAAAAAGCUUAAAUUUUAUUAUAGGACGAGAAGACCCUAUAGAUCUUUAUUAUUUAUUAAAAUAUAUUUUUUAGUUUAUUUAUUUAUAUUUUUAUAAAUUUUUUUGUUGGGGUGACAUGAAGAUAAAUUUAACUCUUUAUAUUAUUUACAAUAAUUUUUGAAUAUUUGACCUUUUAUUAAUGUUUUUAAGAUAUAGAUACCUUAGGGAUAACAGCGUAAUUUUUUUUGAGAGUUCUUAUCGACAAAGGAGAUUGCGACCUCGAUGUUGGAUUAAAAAUACUAUUAGGUGUAGGUGCUUAAUAAUGUAGGUCUGUUCGACCUUUAAAUUUUUACA
rnacentral:rRNA from 1 species